rnacentral:rRNA from 1 species
UACAGAGGGGGCAAGCGUUGUUCGGAAUUACUGGGCGUAAAGCGUGCGUAGACGGUUAUUUAAGUCGGGUGUGAAAGCCCCGGGCUCAACCUGGGAAUUGCAUUCGAGACUGAAUAGCUAGGGUACGGUAGAGGGAAGCGGAAUUUCCGGUGUAGCGGUGAAAUGCGUAGAUAUCGGAAGGAACAUCAGUGGCGAAAGCGGCUUCCUGGACCAGUACCGACGUUCAGGCACGAAAGCGUGGGGAGCAAACAGG